UAAUCUCAUUCAGAGAUAAUAGCACCCACCUCCCCCUUGUGUGAACUCGUACGUCUUCUCAUGUUGGCUUCCAUGGAUCAAGACUCCUGCGAUGAAGAAUCUAUGUCCACCCCAACUACUGUAGAAACAUCUGUUGUGAACAACCAUUUUGGCAAUCCAAUUCCUAUGAUGUUGGUGUUUCCGCAUAUCAAAUUAAACAUAUUCCGUCUAUGUUUGACUAUAUUAUGCAGAUGCUCCAAAAGAAACGUGGCGGAGAACCAUGUCUACAGAAAUAGGGACGCGAAAUAAACAUAUGAGGUACUAUCAGAUCUAGACCCAAAUAUAUAUGUACGAUGUUGUUCUUGAAAGACUACUUUGAACUGAGAUACCCUAUCUGCAAUUUUUUCUGCAUCUCAUGUACUGUGGUUUCAACCGAAUAAAACAGACUCUUCAUCGGCUUCACUUACACCCCGUUCGCAUGUCUUAGAUAAAUUCUGAAAUAUAACUCGGCUUUUGAAUUGUAAGGGCAUUAUACUACUAUGAAAUUUAUACAGGGUUUUUGUUUGGUUGCGCCACCUAUAUUUUUCGCUAUCAAAACCCAUUGUUAUAUUUUUCUUGUGGUUAUCCAAUAGAGUCCACUGUCAUCUUAGUUAGUAGGGAAUUACUGUGUAGAUGAACACUGAUGGCAAUGUAUAAUAUAUUUACCGGUUCACUCUACACUGCAUGACUUAAUUGGCUCUGGUUUGUUGAGCCUAUCCCUAUUUCUUAGUCAAGUAUGUAAGGUUUAUUGUUUGUCCAAUUCAUUUGCCUCUGAAAACACAUGAUGAUCUAUCAUUUUCAACCUACAAAACGAUCACCACAGGAGCCUUCUGGAUAGUGGGUUGCCUACAUUUUUGUUUUCAUCUUGGAUUAGCUUUAAAAUAUAGUAUAUUAUUCUCUCUUCUUUGUUCUUAUAUUGCUUUUAUACUUUUUGAUCUUUUGAUUAAGCAGAGAUAAUAAAGAAUCAUAUUUGAGUUUGCUCAACUCACUUGAGCUUUGGUGUAGCCAAAGUGAGCGUUCUGGAUAGUGGGUUGCUACAUUUUUUGUUUUCAUAUUGGAUUAGCUUUAGAAUAUAGCAGAUUAUUUCUCUGUUCUUGUAUUGCUUUUAUACCUUUUGAUCUUUUGGUUAAGCAGAGAUAAUAAAGAAUCAUAUUUGUGGUAGCUCAACACAGUUGAGCUUUAGUGUUGGGGUUCCAUGGUGUUUCCUAGGGCUCGCCUCAUUGUGAGACGUGGUGAAACCUGAGGUAACAUUAGGCACCCGGAAAUUUGAGAAAAUGGCUCCAUAAGAGGAACCGAAGGGGAAUUCUAUGAAGCCAGGGAAGUGUUUGGCUAGGGGAGGGCCAAGGAGAGGCCACCUCCUGUCGCCAUCACCUCUACCACCACCGCAAUUCCCCUUCAGCUCAGGCGCAUCUAGAGGCAGGCUUACCGGAGGGUUGGAGCAGAGCCGGGUAGGGGUCAGUGAGAUGAUGGCUGGGAAGAGGAGAAGCUCAUGCUCGGGUGCCCAUAAGCUUUUGGUGAAUUGGUCCGAGGGUGGUAUUUUUUUCAUGUUAUGACCGUAUCCUGGGCUCUGAUGCUCAUAUUCAUGUGCCCGUUGUGACAAUGAACUUCUCCUUGUAUGGAUGCUGCUUAUACUUUGUACGGUAAUUCUAUUAGUUCGUCA